CAUGCCUAAUCACCUCUCCCCAGUACCUCUUAGGCCUCCCUCUACCUCGCCGUACACAGACCAUCGCAAGCCGCUCACAACGCCUCACCGGGGCAUCAGGACUUCUCCUCCGCACAUGCCCGAACCACCUCAGCCUCGAUUCUCGCAUCUUCUCAUCCACCGGGGCCACCCCCACCUUCUCUCGAAUAACUUCAUUCUUAAUCUUAUCUAACCUGGUGAGCCCGCACAUCCACUUAAGCAUCCUCAUCUCCGCCACCUUCAUUCUCUGAACAUGAGAGUUCUUCACUGGCCAACACUUCGCCCCAUACAACAUGGCAUGUCUGACCACAACUCUAUAAAAUUUCCCCUUGAGUUUCU
rnacentral:lncRNA from 1 species